rnacentral:rRNA from 1 species
UUGACCUCGAAUCAGGUAGGAAUACCCGCUGAACUUAAGCAUAUCAAUAAGCGGAGGAAAAGAAACCAACCGGGAUUACCUCAGUAACGGCGAGUGAAGCGGUAACAGCUCAAAUUUGAAAUCUGGCUCUUGCGGAGUCCGAGUUGUAAUUUGUAGAAGAUGCUUUGGGUUGUGGGUUCGGCCUAAGUUCCUUGGAACAGGACGUCAUAGAGGGUGAGAAUCCCGUAUGUGGCCGAGGCCCGCGCCUAUGUAAAGCUCUUUCAACGAGUCGAGUUGUUUGGGAAUGCAGCUCAAAAUGGGUGGUAAAUUUCAUCUAAAGCUAAAUAUGGGCCAGAGACCGAUAGCGCACAAGUAGAGUGAUCGAAAGAUGAAAAGCACUUUGGAAAGAGAGUUAAACAGUACGUGAAAUUGUUGAAAGGGAAGCGCUUGCAACCAGACUUGGGCGCUGCCGAUCACCUUGAGUUUUCUCGAGUGCACUCGACAGCGCACAGGCCAGCAUCGGUUCGGGUGGCUGGAUAAAGGCCGUAGGAAUGUGGCUCUCUUCGGGGAGUGUUAUAGCCUACGGUGCCAUGCAGCCCAGCCGGACCGAGGACCGCGCCUUCGGGCUAGGAUGCUGGCGUAAUGGUUGUAAGCGACCCGUCUUGAAACACGGACCAAGGAGUCUAACAUCUAUGCGAGUGUUUGGGUGGUAAACCCAUACGCGGAAUGAAAGUGAACGUAGGUGAGAACCCCUUUGGGGCGCAUCAUCGACCGAUCCUGAUGUCUUCGGAUGGAUUUGAGUAAGAGCAUAGCUGUUGGGAACC